rnacentral:rRNA from 1 species
ACUCCUACGGGAGGCAGCAGUAGGGAAUCUUCCACAAUGGGCGCAAGCCUGAUGGAGCAACACCGCGUGAGUGAAGAAGGGUUUCGGCUCGUAAAGCUCUGUUGUUAAAGAAGAACACGUAUGAGAGUAACUGUUCAUACGUUGACGGUAUUUAACCAGAAAGUCACGGCUAACUACGUGCCAGCAGCCGCGGUAAUACGUAGGUGGCAAGCGUUAUCCGGAUUUAUUGGGCGUAAAGAGAGUGCAGGUCGGUUUUCUAAGUCUGAUGUGAAACGCCUUCGGCUUAACCGGAGAAGUGCAUCGGAAACUGGAUAACUUGAGUGCAGAAGAGGUAGUGGAACUCCAUGUGUAGCGGUGGAAUGCGUAGAUAUA